AAAUAAGACAAUAACAUAAAGUCAAAUACAUUUGUUUAAUCAGUUAAGCAUCGGAGUGUCAAUACUCAAAUGUGUGGGAUCACAAAGCAGGAAGAGACUAGGUUUCCUGACAACAGAAAAAAAG